ACACUCAUUUGGUUGCACCAGGGAACAUUAACUUUUUUCAUUUAAAGAACAGAUUCUCCAGAUGAAAAAUGAAGAACAGAUUCUACAGAUGAAAACACAUCACUAGCCUCUCAGACAAUGUUAUCCAAGGCCCGACAAAGUCUUCCAUCAAAACAUACACAAGAAUCACCAGAUAAUGCAAGAUUUGUACAGUCUGCUCCCUGGAAUAAACCUGAUCUUAGUAAUAAAAAGCCCAGUCUAACACGAAUCCGAAGCCUGGGGGAAUGUUUUCAGUUGCUCACAGACAUGGCCAAAGAGCUAGAAGAUAUCAGCAAGG